rnacentral:lncRNA from 1 species
UUUGUCUCUUCACCCCUUACAGCGUCUAACCCUAGCUGCCCCAAAACACCCAAGCCUCAUUGCCCGGCGGUGCUAUGCCAAACGCAUCUCACCUUUUUAACCAGAUAAUCACCACACCUCUGGUGCCCUAUAUCCAUUAUCAAUUACUCAAAACCUGCACCCAUGUGUUUAAAUCUCGGAUUUGAGUUCUGAAAGAAAAGACCAAGCAUUAAAACAGUUCUCUUUGUUUCAUUUCUUGGAGGUUUCAGGCUUGAUUUAAGUCAAAAGGCAUGAUAAUUGAUUGUUCUUGACAAGAAAAAUUGAUUAGCAUUAGUUUUGGCUUAGUUCGAGAUCAUCAGACUCUGACUAAGUCAUUCACUGUCCUGCCAACUUUGUCAAAUUCCAUUGUCCUUUGAUCCGCUCUGUUUGAUCAAGUUUUUCUGGCCAAAAUCUGGUCGUCUAUGCUUUUUCUUUAGUUAAUGUUUUAUCAUUUAGAUAUCAGUCUUUUUAUUUUGGUUUGUUUGAAUUAGUUUAAUUAGUUAACCAUUUUAAUUAAAAAAUAUGAGUUCAAUGAUUAGGUUGAUUUAUUUGAGACUGAGUUCUGUUUCUUCAAUCUAGGGUUGUCUGUUUAAUCGUUCUUCCUUUGCCUUUACUUGUCAUUUUCAAAACUAGAAGUAGAUUUAAUAAUUUUCCUUUUUGAAAUUCUUGGUAAUAUUUGUUUCAGAGCCUUUAUCCUUGCUUGUUUCAUGUUCUGUCUCGAAUUAGGUCUAAUUAAUUUCUCUUGAAUUUGUUUCAUAUUUCAGGGUCUGUUCAUUGAGUUCAUAUUUUGUUUUAAGUCAUUUGCUCAAAUGGCCCCUUUUUAAUCUUUUUGGUUGUAUUGAAUUUGGCCCUAAGAUGUUAGUCUUGAUUUUCCAACUAUUAGAAUCUUAGGGGGCCUAAGUGAAUAUGGAUAGAAGCUAUAAUAAACAGGUUUCAAAAGGGUAAUUUAGGGUUUUUUAUUUUUAAAAUAUCAGAAUACUCUAGAAGUAAGGGCAGCUGGCCUCAUUUGGUUAGUACAAAGUAAUAAAACUAAUGGGAGAAAACCAGCUGCCAAAUUCUGUUUGGAAUAUGUCUUUUUGUGGUUGAGGAAUAUUCCUUCCAGCACAUGAAAUCUAUGGAACCUAUAUAUGGUGAAAUAUCCAAACAUAAUAGGGUAGAUUUAAGGGCUGAAAAAUACCGAAAAGAAGAGGGCUGAAACUGAAGCAAAAAUCACUGUUUCAUUGAAAUACUCUAGUGAUUCCUUAAGUUCUCUACUUCUUGAAAAGGGUUUGUGGUAGUAUAGCUCAAUGGAUUGAAAUCGGUUGCUUAGGUUUUUGGUUUUGAGGGUUGGUUUGGUAUUGGCUUGAGUGAGGUUGCCCUUUUAUUAUUUUUGAACUUGAUCUAGUUGAGUUACUUUCUGCUGGUGUUUGUGGAUACUAUCCUAUUGCUGAUCCCCUACUUUUGGCCUUUGACUUCACAUCUCUUUGUUUUAUUGUUCGAUUUUCAGGUAUUCCCUGAUUCUAUAGGAGAUGAGAUGCAAGUAUGAAAGCUGUAAUUGCCCGAAGAUUUCAUGAAUGAAUGACUUAUUUCUUUAAUCCUCAAUGUUAAUCAUUUGCCUAAGAAUUUUUGAAGUCAGUAAUGUAGCGUAAUAUUAUUUACCCUGGCCUGUUCAUCUUAAAAUAGAAGUAGUAUUUCUUAGGAAAUUCAUGCUGCCUCUUGUCUUUCUUGGAAAAUUUGUGGUCUAAUAGUUUGGUUGGCAAGUAGGUCAUAAAACUUGAGAGACUAUGUAUAUGAACUGCUAUUUAAAC